rnacentral:rRNA from 1 species
AUGGAGAGGAUGGCUCACUCCUAUUUCAAGGAGAUUUUCACAAAAGAUCCAACCCUAUCCCCGGACGAGGUGUUGGGUUGCAUUGCUCCAAAAGUUACAGAGGAGAUGAACAUUAUGCUAUGCAGGCCUUAUUCAGAAGAGGAGAUUUCUAAUGCUUUAUUUCAGAUUGGGCCCCUCAAAGCUCCGGGAUGUGAUGGACUACCUGCUAGGUUUUUCCAACAGAAUUGGGCUCUACUCAAAACUGAAAUUGUUGCUGCGGUUCGUGAGUUCUUUGCGUCUGGGGUUAUGCCGGAUGCUGUUAACAAUACGGCUAUAGUGCUAAUUCCUAAGGUUCCUCACCCCAAGGACCUGAAAGAUUUUAGGCCAAUAAGCUUGUGCAAUGUUAUAUACAAGAUCAUCUCAAAAUGCAUGGUCAAUAGAUUGCGGCCUGUUCUCAAUGAUCUCAUCUCUGAAAAUCUGAGCGCCUUCAUCUUGGGGAGGCUGAUCUCUGAUAACUCUAUUAUUGCGUUUGAAUGUAUUCACCAUAUCCAGUCAGUAAGGAACAAUGCAGAUGAUCUUUGUGCUUACAAACUUGAUCUCUCCAAGGCCUAUGAUAGGGUGGAUUGGGUGUUCUUGGAAAAGGCCUUGGCCAAGUGGGGCUUCUCGCCUGACUGGAUUCCUCGGGUUAUGGCUUGUGUUUCAUUGGUGAAAUACUCGGUAAAAUUUAAUGGGAAGCUGCUGGAGUCCUUCUCUCCGUCGAGGGGCCUCCGUCAAGGUGAUCCAUUGUCUCCCUUCCUCUUCUUAUUUGUGGCCGAUGCUCUCUCUGUGUUGGUGGAAAAGGCUGCAAGGGAGGAUGGUCUUAGUGGAGUCAAGAUAAGUAGAGGUGCUCCGGUGAUUACACACCUCUUAUUUGCGGAUGAUUCACUCCUAUUUUUCCAUGCUACUAAUCAGCAGGCAUUGUUAGUGAAAGGGGUGUUGAACACAUUUGCGACGGUGACUGGACAACUCAUAAACCCAUCGAAGUGUUCCAUUCUUUUCUCAAGCCAGUGUCGACAGGACGUGAUUCAAGAGGUUAAACACACACUGGAUAUCACCCUAGAAGCGUUCGAGCCCAAGUACUUGGGCUUGCCGGUUCCGGAGGGGAGGAUGCAUAAAGGGAAAUUUGAGACUCUCCAAGAGCGUUUGAGGAAAGUUCUUGUGGAUUGGAGUGAGCAGUACAUGUCGUCGGGGAACAAGGAGAUUCUUAUUAAAUCAGUGGCACAGGCCAUACCAGCAUAUGCAAUGAGUGUCUUCAAACUCCCGGCUUCUGUUUGUGAUGAUCUUACAAGAAUGAUACGUCAGUAUUGGUGGGUGGGUAGAGAACGGAAAGAAGAAGAUGGCAUGGAUGAGUUGGGACAAGUUGCGUUUGCCUAA